UGGGGAAUAUUGGGCAAUGGACGAAAGUCUGACCCAGCGACGCCGCGUGAGGGAAGAAGGUCUUCGGAUUGUAAACCUCUGUUGACAGGGAAGAAGGAAGUGACGGUACCUGUCGAGGAAGCCACGGCUAACUACGUGCCAGCAGCCGCGGUAAUACGUAGGUGGCAAGCGUUAUCCGGAAUUACUGGGUGUAAAGGGUGUGUAGGCGGGACUGCAAGUCAGAUGUGAAAACUAUUGGCUUAACCAAUAGCCUGCAUUUGAAACUGUGGGACUUGAGUGUCGGAGGGGCAAGUGGAAUUCCUAGUGUAGCGGUGAAAUGCGUAGAUAUUAGGAGGAACACCAGUGGCGAAGGCGGCUUGCUGGACGACAACUGACGCUGAGGCUCGAAAGCGUGGGGAG
rnacentral:rRNA from 1 species